UUUUUACCUUCGGUGGAUUUUUCACAUGUUAUAGUUUGUUUGUUUUUUCAUUUAAAUUCAGCGACUGCUGCCAGUCCAUAUUUGUGAUCGUUCAUAUGAUACCAACACCCCCUUUUAAUCUGAACAUGAUCACAGCUAGAAACCCUAGAUUCAUGUGGCCACUCCUGGCUUUGUUACACCAGAAUAGAACAGCAACCUGUUUGCAGCUAGGAAAAAUUGAUGGUUGAUUACAAUUAAUUUCUUCACAUUCAGGAACCAGCUGCAAGUAGUUGCAGGGAUUCCUUUCAGUCUCAAGGUGAUUGUACACAUCAGCUGGUGGGAGGCAACCUGUCUCCAAACUAUCAUGGGGCAACCUGAAUGCAAUCUCGUUUGGACAAAGACUGGCAAAGGUAAAAGGUUGCUGGUUUAAUUCCAGGAGGAGAUAUAAAUCCCUUUUAGGAUGAUGGCAGGAAGAGUAACCUGAGUACCCUGUACCCUGAGCAAAGGAAACAGGUUGUCGUGAAAGAGAAGCCUGCACUGCUAAGAGGGGAAAC